AUUGAACGCUGGCGGUAUGCUUAAGACAUGCCUGUCGAACGGAAUCUUCGGAUUCAGUGGCGGACGGGUGAGUAACACGUGGGAAUCUACUGAGUAGCGGGGGACAGCCCGGCGAAAGCCGGAUUAAUACCGCAUACGCCCUACGGGGGAAAGGCGCAAGCCGCUAUUUAAUGAGCCCGCGUAAGAUUAGCUAGUUGGUGAGGUAAAGGCUCACCAAGGCAACGAUCUUUAGCUGGUCUGAGAGGAUGGCCAGCCACAUCGGGACUGAGACACGGCCCGGACUCCUACGGGAGGCAGCAGUCGGGAAUAUUGGACAAUGGGCGCAAGCCUGAUCCAGCAAUACCGCGUGUGUGAAGAAGGCCUGCGGGUUGUAAAGCACUUUCAGUUGGGAAGAUAAUGACGUUACCAACAGAAGAAGCACCGGCUAACUCCGUGCCAGCAGCCGCGGUAAUACGGAGGGUGCAAGCGUUAAUCGGAAUUACUGGGCGUAAAGCGUGCGUAGGCGGUUUUUUAAGUCAGAUGUGAAAUCCCCGGGCUCAACCUGGGAACUGCAUCUGAUACUGGGAGACUACAGUGUGGGAGAGGAGAGUGGAAUUUCCGGUGUAGCGGUGAAAUGCAUAGAGAUCGGAAGGAACAUCAGUGGCGAAGGCGACUCUCUGGACCAACACUGACGCUGAGGCACGAAAGCGUGGGUAGCAUACAGGAUUAGAUACCCUGGGAGUCCAUGCCGUAAACGAUGACAACUAGCCGUCCGGACGCCUUUAGGUGCCGGUAGUCGAAUUAACGAAUUAAUUUCCCCGUACAUUGUACACGUCACCCCACAAGACAGGAAUCUGGCAGAAACAGGUAGAUGAUCACCAAGGAGGGAGCUAUCCAAGGUAAAUCUACAUAACU
rnacentral:rRNA from 1 species